GACGAACGCUGGCGGCGUGCUUAACACAUGCAAGUCGAACGGAAAGGCCCUGCUUUUGUGGGGUGCUCGGGUGGCGAACGGGUGAGUAACACGUGAGUAACCUGCCCUUGACUUUGGGAUAACUUCAGGAAACUGGGGCUAAUACCGGAUAGGAGCUCCUGCUGCAUGGUGGGGGUUGGACAGUUUCGGCGGUUGGGGAUGGACUCGCGGCUUAUCAGCUUGUUGGUGGGGUAGUGGCUUACCAAGGCUUUGACGGGUAGCCGGCCUGAGAGGGUGACCGGCCACAUUGGGACUGAGAGACGGCCCAGACGCCUACGGGAGGCAGCAGUGGGGAAUAUUGCACAAUGGGCGGAAGCCUGAGGCAGAAACGCCGGGGGCGGGAUGAAGGCCUUCGGGGUGUAAACCGCUUUCGCCUGUGACGAAGCGUGAGUGACGGUAAUGGGUAAAGAAGCACCGGCUAACUACGUG
rnacentral:rRNA from 1 species